rnacentral:rRNA from 1 species
AUACGGAGGAUGCGAGCGUUAUCCGGAUUUAUUGGGUUUAAAGGGUGCGUAGGCGGGAUUUUAAGUCAGCGGUGAAACGCAAGGGCUCAACCCUUGACCUGCCGUUGAAACUGGAGUUCUUGAAUGCGGAUGCUGUGGGAGGAAUGUGUGGUGUAGCGGUGAAAUGCAUAGAUAUCACACAGAACACCGAUUGCGAAGGCAUCUCACAAAUCCGUGAUUGACGCUGAGGCACGAAAGUGUGGGGAUCAAACAGGAUUAGAUACCCUGGUAGUCCACACUGCAAACGAUGAUAACUCGCUGUCGGCGAUACACAGUCGGUGGCCAAGCGAAAGCGAUAAGUUAUCCACCUGGGGAGUACGACCGCAAGGUUGAAACUCAAAUGAAUUGGCGGGG